GGGCCGGUUUCGCGUCCGUUAGGCCCCGUGAUUCCCAAGCUCAGAGCGCGGGUUCGAUUCCCGUCACCCGCUCCA
rnacentral:tRNA from 1 species